CCUACGGGGGGCAGCAGUGAGGAAUAUUGGUCAAUGGACGAGAGUCUGAACCAGCCAAGUAGCGUGAAGGAUGACUGCCCUACGGGUUGUAAACUUCUUUUAUAUGGGAAUAAAAUGUUCCACGUGUGGGAUUUUGUAUGUACCAUAUGAAUAAGGAUCGGCUAACUCCGUGCCAGCAGCCGCGGUAAUACGGAGGAUCCGAGCGUUAUCCGGAUUUAUUGGGUUUAAAGGGAGCGUAGGUGGAUUGUUAAGUCAGUUGUGAAAGUUUGCGGCUCAACCGUAAAAUUGCAGUUGAAACUGGCAGUCGUGAGUACAGUAGAGGUGGGCGGAAUUCGUGGUGUAGCGGUGAAAUGCUUAGAUAUCACGAAGAACUCCGAUUGCGAAGGCAGCUCACUGGACUGCAACUGACACUGAGGCUCGAAAGUGUGGGUAUCAAACAGGAUUAGAUACCCCAGUAGUC
rnacentral:rRNA from 1 species